rnacentral:lncRNA from 1 species
UGCAAUGUUAGAAGUGACAGUAAUGCAGAAUACCUACAGACCUUGAAGAGAAAUGAAGAGAUACAGCCCUAAAUUGUUCAACAUGGUGUGUGUGGGAAACAUAGUGGACAGAAAGCAUGUGACAAAAAAUGAAAAGAAAAGGUGGUGUUGAAUGGUAUGCAGUGAGUGCAAGUCAUCUGAAGUCAGGGACCAUCUUAUUGCACCAUUCCAGAUAGCAGUCUACAGAAUAAAUAGCAUACUUACUAGCGUGAAAACAUGCAAAUAUAAAGUGUGAAGUAACAGUAACACAGAAUGGCUGGAGACCAUUAACUUAAGAACUGAAGAGAUGCAGUCUAUUGUUCUAUAUGGUGAUUGAUGGAACCAUGGUGCAGUUUUGAAUUGAUAAGGUGUGAAGUUGCAGAAAAGCAGAAUAGCUACAGACCAUGAAAUUUAGAAAUGAAGAGAUGCAUGUCUCUGUUCAGCAUGGUGUAUAUGGGAAACAUUGUGGGUCACAGACCUCUGUUCAGCAUGGUGUAUAUGGGAAACAUUGUGGGUCACAGACCUCUGUUCAGCGUGGUGUAUAUGGGAAACAUUGUGGGUCACAGACAUGAAAUGAUUUGUGUGAAGUAACAGUAAAGCAGAAUGGCUACAGACAAUUAGUUCAGAAUUGAAGAAGAGAUGCAGGUCUUUGUUCUAUAUGGUGUAUGAGGGAACCAUGGUGGAAAUUUGGAUUUCAUGGCAGUCAUAGAAAUAUCUAAUAAGUCUGUAGGAAAGUGAUGUGUGUAUCAGUCUGUCAGACUUUUACCUGUCUGUCCAGUCGACAAAUUCGCAAUAGAUGCGUAGAUUCUCAAAUAAUUUGGCAGAGUUUUCACAGUUACUAAGACAGAUUGCAAAAGAUUUUUGGACUAUAUUCCUGUGCGGAUGGAUUAAAAAAACUACUCCAGACUGGUAGACAUGAAUUAUGUUUAUUGGAAAUAUGAACAUGGACUUAAAACUUUGAUGUGUAGCAAAAAAGUUCAUCGUUGAUGAUAGUGAUUUUCUAAGCUAUAUUGACUGGAACAGGGUUGUUCUUUACAAAUACAGAGCUGUCAAUGCUGCAAUUUUGUUGUGAAAGUCACAAUCCAUUUCAGAAGGUGCGUGUUUUACUAUACCGCAAAGAAGAAGAAAUUGUACUGGGCCGACACCUUACGAGACGGCAUUUAUGUUUGUUGUACUCGAUUACAAAAAUAAUGUGCUUGAUUUACGAAAAGAUUGGAUUACGCACUUAAAUCCAGUAAACUACUUACCCAAAACCCUGAAAUGAGAGCGCUUGGACAAUGUGAAGUUUGUCGCAUAGACGGGGAUUGACCGCCUUUGUGUAUAUAAGUCUACAACUUCUCAGAUUUGACUGAAGACAAUUGUUUGGUGUUGUGAAUAGAGAAAUAUAUGAGGUAGGGCUCUGCAGUUUUCCAUAAACACAAGAAGUUUACAUUUGUUGCACAGAGUUGAAGGAAUUGUUAUAGGAAAGGUGUACAGAAUGUAAGGAUAUGACAGCCAAACACCUUCCCCAGGAUUUGAUGCAGCAACCUUCUGAUAGAAAGAUGUACCUGUUGUGCAAAGGGGAUAAACUGGCUUGGUGACAGGAAAAAGAAAAGGAAAAUGGCCCCAGGAAAGAAAAGAUACAGCAGAUACAAGUUGCUAAGGACAAGAAUGUCUGUCAUUCAUGGAAACAUCAGAGUUCAGCAGGUUCUUGAAACAGCAGUAAAAUGAGCAGGUUUCAAAAGUUGGCCUUUGGCAGUCUAAAGUUAAAAUGACUUGGAACAGUCAAAACUAACCUAAA